rnacentral:rRNA from 1 species
UACGGAGGAUGCGAGCGUUAUCCGGAUUUAUUGGGUUUAAAGGGUGCGUAGGCGGAUCGUUAAGUCAGUGGUCAAAUUGAGGGGCUCAACCCCUUCCCGCCAUUGAGACUGGCGCUCUUGAGUGGAAGAGAAGUAUGCGGAAUGCGUGGUGUAGCGGUGAAAUGCAUAGAUAUCACGCAGAACCCCGAUUGCGAAGGCAGCAUGCCGGCUUCCGACUGACGCUGAAGCACGAAAGCGCGGGGAUCGAACAGG